rnacentral:rRNA from 1 species
UACGUAGGGCGCAAGGCGUUAUCCGGAAUUAUUGGGCGUAAAGAGCUCGUAGGCGGUUUGUCGCGUCUGCCGUGAAAGUCCGGGGCUCAACUCCGGAUCUGCGGUGGGUACGGGCAGACUAGAGUGAUGUAGGGGAGACUGGAAUUCCUGGUGUAGCGGUGGAAUGCGCAGAUAUCAGGAGGAACACCGGUGGCGAAGGCGGGUCUCUGGGCAGUAACUGACGUGAGGAGCGAAAGCGUGGGGAGCGAACAGG